GAUGCAUUUGCCGGGAACAGAAAGGAAUGGAGUCUUAGAACUUAGCUCCUUCACCGCUGUGGUACCUCUACAGAUCUCCCAUACUGCAGAAACCUGGCUCACCGUACCUCCAUGGGCUGUUCCAAGAAGAAAUAUUUUGAUGAUGAUGCAUCACAGGUCCUGGAACAAGAACAGCAGUUAAGGGAUGAAGAUGGAACAGAACAGAGAAUUGUUUGAGCAGCAGCUGGCUCUAAUGGUCAUAAGAGUGCAGGCUCCUGAUGUACCCACACCAUGGGCUUUCACUGCUACAGUACCCAGGUGUGCAGUCCAGGAACAGCUUGGACAACCCAUGGCUGGGUGACCCAUGCAAUUAGGCCCUCUGAGUGACUGGACUGGGCAAAUAUGCUGGACCCCUCCCCCAUGGACACUUCCACCCCUCUGCCUCAGCACCAACUGUGUGGCAUAUUUGAAAGAGAGGGGAACAGGGGGCCAGGAGAUGUGUAAUAGUGUGUGUGUUGUGCAUAGUUUUUACCAUUUGCACUUGUUUAUGUACUUUGUUCUUGGUUAUUUUUAAAGGUUUUGAGGUGUUAAGGGCAGCAGGCCUUCCAGGCAAUGGUUUAAUACUGUACUUUCCCAAUACAUGGAUAAAAAUAAAGGUUUCUAUUUUAUAA